AAGACUAUAGACCUGCGGAGUACCUGCGGAAGGAUCAUUACAGAGUUCAUGCCCUCACGGGUAGAUCUCCCACCCUUGUGUAUUUAUACCUUUGUUGCUUUGGCAGGCCGCCUGGGUUUGCGCCUGGCCACCGGCUCUCGGGCUGGUGCGUGCCUGCCAGAGGAUCUCCAAACUCUAGUUAUCAGUGUUGUCUGAGUACUAUACAAUAGUUAAAACUUUUAACAAUGGAUCUCUAGAUCG
rnacentral:misc_RNA from 1 species